rnacentral:rRNA from 1 species
UACGUAGGGGGCAAGCGUUGUCCGGAAUCAUUGGGCGUAAAGCGCGUGUAGGCGGCUCGAUAAGUCUGCUGUGAAAGUCCAAGGCUCAACCUUGGGAUGCCGGUGGAUACUGUCGAGCUCGAGUCCGGAAGAGGAGUGUGGAAUUCCUGGUGUAGCGGUGAAAUGCGCAGAAUAUCAGGAGGAACACCAAUGCGAAGGCAGCACUCUGGGACGUGACUGACGCUGAGACGCGAAAGCGUGGGGAGCAAACAGG